rnacentral:rRNA from 1 species
UACGGAGGGUGCAAGCGUUAAUCGGAAUUACUGGGCGUAAAGGGUGCGUAGGUGGUUUGAUAAGUUAGUUGUGAAAUUCCUGGGCUCAACCUGGGCACUGCAACUAAGACUGUUGAACUCGAGUAUGGGAGAGGGUAGUGGAAUUUCCGGUGUAGCGGUGAAAUGCGUAGAGAUCGGAAGGAACACCAGUGGCGAAGGCGGCUACCUGGCCUAAUACUGACACUGAGGCACGAAAGCGUGGGGAGCAAACAGG